rnacentral:sRNA from 1 species
AAUGCUCUUCACCAGGGAGGACACGAAGGAUCCCUCAGCCCCACUGAGCACAGACACCAGGUUUCCCGAGGGCCGCUUCUGGCAGGCCAGCUUUGAGGGCAACAAAGAGAAUGAGAGGGAGCCUGAGACCUGCUGAGGGAGGGCAGGGCAAAGAGAAAAGCGUUCGCUCAUUCUGCUGAGAUUCAAGGAGAGUCACCCCUGGCUAGAAGCUACAAGCAUCCAAGUGGGAAGGAAUAUCUACCGAUGUUCUGAUUUAAGUGAAUGAAGGUCUUCUUUCCACCUCGGGAAAUCUUGAGGGUUAUGUAACAGCAGCUUUGAAAUGCUUGUACGAUGUACUUUGUGCUAGUCCAUCUCAAAUCUUCACCGGCUGUACCAAGAACAGAAAAAAAAAAGGAAUUUGGUGAGUACUUUAUAAAGCUAAAUUUACUCAAUUAAUUUCACCUCUGAUUAUGUUUUUCAUGUAUCUUGGGACAUUAGAAUGUCCUGUAUUUA